CACGUAGGGCGCAAGCGUUGUCCGGAAUUAUUGGGCGUAAAGAGCUCGUAGGCGGACUGUCACGUCUGCUGUGAAAAGCUGGGGCUUAACCCUGGCCUUGCAGUGGAUACGGGCUGGCUAGAGGCAGGCAGGGGAGAACGGAAUUCCCGGUGUAGCGGUGAAAUGCGCAGAUAUCGGGAGGAACACCGGUGGCGAAGGCGGUUCUCUGGGCCUGUACUGACGCUGAGGAGCGAAAGCGUGGGAGCAACAGG
rnacentral:rRNA from 1 species